ACAUGUUUUUCUACUUUUUACACAUCCAAUUAAUUAAAAGUAAAAAUAGCUCCAUCAAAAUUUAUUUCUGGCUAAAGAUAGCAGCUACCGUUACCUUGUCACUCUGAACAAUUAAAACUGGAUUAAAGACUGAAAAAAGAAAACAUACAAAGAAAAGAACUUGGUAAGCACUAUCAAACUCUUAUUCCAAAAAAAAAUUUAAAAAAAUCAUCAAUUAAAUAACAAAACUUAAAAUAAAUUACUGGGGGUGCAGCUGGGGCAGUAAGUUUUAAACAACACUGGAAAAAAGAGAAUGAAUUAAGAAUAACAAAGUUAUUGCUAAUUAACAGGAAAUAACUCCUCUAUAAUACUAACAGAAGUAUCUACCACUUUUUUUUAAAACUCUCUUUUCAAAAAACACUAGAUGACAAGAAUUUUUGAAUAAAAGACCAAUUUAAGUUGACGUUUUCCACAUACAAAUUUUUUUUAAUGAAGCAAUAAUUAAGGCAGAGUAUUGUCCCCUACUUAACUUACCAGUCAUAAUGUCUUUGCCUCCCCGUUUCCAUAUCUUAGUGCUUUCAAAGAAAAUUACAAAGUGCUAAACUAAAAAUAUCACAAGUAGCUGUUAACCCUUUUGAAAAGAAAUAGCACAGCCUUAGUAGUAAAUCUCUUUUCUUCAAAGUGAGCAUUGCUCCAUGACAAAUGAUAUCUCCCUCUGUGUUCUGCACAUGCGAACAAUUUCCUGAAUUUUAAGCCACACCUCUUUCAGUAAGAGAGAUGCCAUGAUGGGCACUGGUAGAGGAUAGCUUUGUUUCUCAAACACACAUUGCAAGGAACAAUUUACUGAUUCUUUUCACAGCUACAAUCAGCAUUUCAGGAUUUCAAAAAAGGAACGAAUAUCAAGGAAGGAUUAACACGUUGUCUUCAUAUCUGACAGCAAAAAAAAAAAAAAAAAAAGGCAUCGCAUGUGAGAAAACACAAAAGUUUUACUCAAGGCAUGGCAUGGAAGGCCCAGAAAGAAUUCUUAAUUAUUCGCACGAGAAAAAAGCAUCAUAAGAAUGCUGAAUUAAUAUUUGCACUGAGUUAGUAAAUUUUAAUUUAGUGUAGUCAGUUUUAAGAACAUUCCAGACAGAGUUUUAAAAUUCAAAGAAAAGUUUUACAAUGCUGAUUGAAAUUAUUUUGAUAUGCAGAUCCAAAGAGAAGACAUUAUACUGGUGGAGGGAGGGGUUAAAGAAAAUUUAAAUGGUCAUUGCAUGGCCUAGCCUCUAAGAAACCAAAAUCUAUUUUUCUUUCUAAUAUAACUAAAAAGGAAAGGAAAAAAUUGACAACUUAAAUUAUAAGCUAUAUUAUGUCAGUGUUUUAUGAGAUUAUGUUUCUUAAUCCUUUUAUCUUUUUUGCUAUAUUUGUGAUAAAAAUGACAAUAGUAUAAAUCAUAACUAACAAUUCACAAAAACAUGAAUAAUAAGCAUGGAUAAGAUUAUCUUGCCAACUGGAUCUCUCUUUACUCAACCACCUAUUUAUUUCAACAUAAAAUACAAGACAUAAGUUACAUAAAAGAUAUGCCUCCAAUUUAUUUUUGUAAAAUUUUAAAACUAAGCCUUCUCUCGCUCCAGCCACUGAAAUAUUUAGGGACUCAAAUAUUUGGUGUUCAGGUUAUACGUUGUGUUAUGGAAGAAGAGUUAUUUUUAUCUGCAACCAGUCUCAGAGGAGACAUGUGAAUGUAUGACACAACCCACUUUAAAAUGCAUCACAACAUAACAUGCAAAGGAAUUAAAGCUCAUUAGAGGUUGUGAAUCUUUAAUUACUGAUAAAACAUUGAAGCAUCAUUGAUACAAUUUAAUGUUUAGCAAAAACCAAUAAUAAAGCUUCAUGCCUACUUUGAUAAUAGCAUAGGUCAGAUUAGAAUAGUUGGCCAGCAUGACCUUCAAGUCUUUUAGUGUCACUAGGUGAUAGAAAUAACAGUUAACCUAGGGAGUGUUUUAGUUAGCUGGUGCUAGAGGAAAAUGAAGUUUAGGUUAGAAAAGGAAACAUCAGCAUUGAGAAACCUCCUAUGCACACUGAUGGCUGUGAGAAACAGGAUCAUGAUACCAGGUGCAGUUGGGAUUCAGCUACUGUUAUGUAGAUGAGGUCACGGUGGAUGAUGCGGUUGCUGUGCAGGAAGUCCACACCAUUAACCAGCUGUAGCAUCAGGUCCUGCAAUAGAAGAUUGUACUAAGAAGUUUAAAUGGGCAAAGCUGUGGCUGAUGGUGCCUACUAUUAUAAGAAAGUAUUGGUGUACACACCCGAAUUCGAUCUGGGCCAAGGCCUGGGGACGGACAUUUCUGGAGGACCUUCACUAUUUCUCCACAAUGCGGGACUGAAAAGGUGUCUACCAUACUGGCAGUCCAGAAGAUCUACAAAUAUGUGGUAUCCACACUGAGAUGCCAAGCCAGUGCUUUUGAUAUUGAUUCUGAUUCCUCAGCUCUUCACCUUACACACACCAACAUCCAUGGGAUAGCAUCUGGAAACCUGUUCAUGAUUUACUUUUUAAGUCAAAGUCAGAAUAGCAGUGGUAAGUGAUAUACAAAUCAAUGUGUUCUUCAAUACGAAGUAGUUGACACAUUUCUCUGAGUAAUAUUUGACAUCACUGAUAAGAGCCUCCAUCAGAAAAAUCAACCAAUGAGAGAGCCAAGAGGACAAUCACCUGCUGGAGCUGCUAUGAUUAGACAAGCAAGAGCGCUUUUCAUUGCCCUUUUUUGGGGGGAAAUUCAAGCAUCACAAGGACUGUCAGCUCAUGCACUAUCUCCUUAAGGUUCAAGGCCUUCCAAGAUCAUGUCAACCAUAAUUGUAAACAUAAAGCACACAGCCUGCAGAUGCACCAAAUGUGAUGUAUUUUCUGCUGUACUUUUCAAUAGACCAUACCAGUUCUACAUUCAUCUCCUUCCACAGCCCGUCUUCCGUAAACCAUGUUGAUGGUGCUAUCUACCAUCAGGGCCUUUGUACAAGUGCUGUCAGUAAUAGCCACAGUCCCUUUGGUGAACAGGUUAAAGUUUACUAUCAAUACCCUCUUGUUAUGGUCAUAAAUCACUCAAAUAUAGUUGAAUAUAGUAUUAGUGAUUGUAGUAGCCACAAUUUCACACACCCACCACUAUUUUUUGAUAAAUUACACACUUAUUCAUUCAGUCCUUCUUGUACAUUCAAAAGAUAAUGGUCUUAUUUGUUAUCUUGCCAUUAUCUCACCAACCCCUCCUCUCGCCACGCUUUGUGACAGAAUGGAUGUCCAAAACUCUAAACGUUACCCCACCUAUGGACUCUAUACCCUUUUUACAUUUUCACACUUAACACUUGCGUUGAAUGCAAGAUAAUAAAUUUGGACUGUACUUACAUGUCUCAUAAACUAUAUAUAUAUAGAGAGAGAGAAUGUACCUCAACUGUCUGACCUGCAACUAAUGUUUAUAUUUUCGCUUUACGAUGUCUCAGCAGAUUUCAAUUUUAAUUUGAUCGAAUUAAAUUUUUUUGUAUCAACAGUGAAAAUUAAGCAUCAUUCAAAACAGCUCUUUAUCUACUGCACCUAAGACUACAGAAGCACCUGAACGUUUUUUUGUUAUUUUUUAGAUGGUCCUGAAAGGCCUCUAUAAAGUCUAAUUAGGAAUUUAAAUAACAAUACGAGUCUAGUCAAAACAUAUUUGCAAUGAAAAUAUAAUACAGCUAAGAAUUGUAUUUCCGGUUUCUAUGCUCUACUGGGGGUUAGGAACAAGGAGGAGAAGAACUGUAUUUGUAACAUGUACAAAAAGAAAUUACACAUUUUAAAACAAAAUUCUCUGGUUGUUUUGCAAAGAAAAAAACCCUUGCUAUUUCUUCACACACUCUGAAUUUUAAAAGAAUUUGUUCCAACAGUACAUUUAUUGCAUAUGUUCAAAUGAAGGCAUUAUAAAUCACAUAUCUGUAUGCAUGUAGACACUGACUACAGGACAAUUUUAUGAAAAUAGACACAAUAAAAAAUUUUACAAAAUAAAAUUAAAGGAUUUCCUACCAUUUAAAAAAAAAGUUGAUGGACAGACCAAAGAAACGUAAAAAACUUGGGUCCUGCCGUGGCUGUACCUCUAAAUGGUGAUUCAAAUAAACUAAAAGCAAAUUAGAAAACUGAUAAUCGCUAAAUAAAGUGCUUACACAUAUAAUUUUUAAAUUACCCCUCCCCCAAAAUCAUAAAAUAUAAGAGAUCUGUAAUAGUGUGAUCCAUAUUUUAUAAAUAUUGUAUAAAUAUAUCAAAUUUACAUACUGAUUUAGAUUUAUCAGAUGUUUGGUAAUAGUGCCUGUGAUACCUGAUUUAUAUUGUAAAGAGGGAAAAUCAAUAAAAUAUAGUGCAAUGCUAUUAAAACACAAUGCUAUUUUUGUACAGCUUUCUAAGGUUUGUGAGGCAGCUAUUAUCAUCCAUAAGAAAAAGUGCGAUAAUAACUGAAAAUUAACAUCGUCCGUGUAGCAUUAUGUCUUUACGACUCUGACGCUCAAUUAAACACUGCAAUAUAUUUGAAAAUAUUGCUGUUUACUGAGUGUUGCGCUGGGCCGAUGCUUUCAAGGGGACAAAGAAUUAAAAGAAAAAAAAAAUUGGAAAUCGCACAAAGCUGCUAUGAU
rnacentral:misc_RNA from 1 species